CGAUGCAGCAGGAGCAGAGAGCAGCCAUUGCUGUGUCUGGUAGCAGACAAUCCAGCUGUGAGGAGCGAGAGGUGUUAUUACAAGGAGCACUCAGAAUGGAAAAGGACAAGAAACACAAGACUGAUUUGAUAAUAAAUCUCACACUGGAAAUAAUCUACCUGCUGACUGGGGAGGGUUACACAGUAGAGAAGAAGACAUCUGGUGAGUAUGAGACACCCAGCAGCCAUCCCUGCCUGUCAGGAGGACUGAGCAGGAUCCAGAGCCCCAUCAUGGUGCCUCCACCUCACUCACUGAUACAUAAGAGGCACAAUGACCAGAAGAUCCUGGAACUCACCCACAAGAUCAUUCAGCU